ensembl:lncRNA
CUGGAGAGAAGAAUGAAGAAGUCAACAUCACUGUAUCAGAUAAUCGUGUGAUCCUGGAGAUCCCAGCACUUCCUGUGAGGACAGGAAGUGAUGUCACUCUACACUGUAAAAAGAAAACUGGUGGCACAGCCGCAGCUUAUUUCUACUUUAAUGGACGUCCAGUUAGGCCUAAAACAGAGAAAAACAUCACCAUUAACGUGCAGCAGUCUGAUGAAGGUCUCUACUGGUGUGCUACCGAUGAGUUUGGAUUAUCUCCUCAGAGCUUUCUGAGGGUCAGAGAUCCUGCUACACCAACACCACCGCCAACAAAAACAACAGCAAACAUCCAUAUCUCCUGUUCUCCUCCUCCUCCUCUUCCUAAUCCCUCCUUCAUCAUCCCAGUCAUAGUUACUGUAGGUUCUCUGGUCCUUGUGGUUCUGGUUCUGGUUGCAGUUCAGCUUCUUUGGAAGAAACACACAGGGAAACACCAGCCAGCAACUACAAAUGAUGUCACAUAUGCCGAGGUCACCAGUAGAGAGUCAGCCAAUAAGAUGUCAGUCGUCCAACCAGAAGUGAUUUACUCCAGCCUGAGCAUAAACACUACAGGUUAACAGGAGAGAAAACCAAGUGGUACCAAAGACCUACAGCUGGAGGAGGAACACUUCCAGAAAUGACUCUCUAUGAACACAGUUCACCAUGCCAUCUAUUCCAGGAGCGCAGCUUCAUAGUAGAAGAGUCAGGUGCUGAACUGGCCUGCCUGCAGUCCUGAUCUUUCAUCAAUGAAAACAUCUGGAGCAUCAUGAAACCAGAAGCAGGACAAAGAAGAGUCAGGACAGCUGAGCAGCUAAAACCCUCCAUCAGACACGGAUGGAGCAACAUCCCACUCCCAA